UACGUAUGGAGCAAGCGUUAUCCGUAUUUACUGGGUGUAAAGGGUGCGUAGGCGGCACAGCAAGUCAGAUGUGAAAGACCGGGGCUCAACCCCGGGGCUGCAUUUGAAACUGCCGAGCUUGAGUCCGGGAGAGGCAGGCGGAAUUCCUAGUGUAGCGGUGAAAUGCGUAGAUAUUAGGAGGAACACCAGUGGCGAAGGCGGCCUGCUGGACCGGAACUGACGCUGAGGCACGAAAGCGUGGGGAGCAAACAGG
rnacentral:rRNA from 1 species